rnacentral:rRNA from 1 species
CGUCAGCUCGUGUCGUGAGAUGUUGGUUAAGUCCGCAACGAGCGCAACCCCUAUUGUUAGUUGCCAUCAUUCAGUUGGGCACUCUAGCGAGACUGCCGGUAAUAAACCGGAGGAAGUGGGGAGUGAACGGUCGAAAUCAUCAUGCCCUUAUGACCUGGGCUACGACACGUGCUACAAUGGUUGGUACAACGAGGUUGCGAGUCGGUGACGGCGGAGCUAAUCUCUUAAAGCCAAUCUCAGUUCGGAUUGUAGGCUGCAACUCGCCUACAUGAAGUCGGAAUCGCUAGUAAUCGCGGAUCAGCACGCCGCGGUGAAUACGUUCCCGGGCCUU